UUCGUUCUCCCAGCAAAAACUGAGUCCUUCCUGCUUUUGGAUCUUAAAUGUCCCCCAAGAAGCCUUGUGGUAAAGGCUUGGCCUCCAGCGAGACAGUAUCGGAGGCGAGGAAAACCAUUCUUGAUCCAGAACUGCCCUCUCCAGAAAAGGAUUUAUGGAUGAAGUGAUGUUUGAGGAAUCCAGACCUCAACAGCUGGACCUGAGAGAGGGGUGUGCUUCCAGGUCCCGUCCGUAGGUCCAGUUGGGAUCUUGGGUACUGUGAGGGCUCAGACACCUCCACCACCUCCUCCUGGCCCGG